GAAAUGCGAUAAGUAAUGUGAAUUGCAGAAUUCAGUGAAUCAUCGAAUCUUUGAACGCACAUUGCGCCCGCCAGUAUUCUGGCGGGCAUGCCUGUCCGAGCGUCAUUUCAACCACCAAGCCCCCGGGCUUGUGUUGGGGACCUGCGGCUGCCCGCAGGCCCUGAAAACCAGUGGCGGGCUCGCUGUCACACCGAGCGUAGUAGCAAUCACCUCGCUCAGGGCGUGCUGCGGGUUCCGGCCGUUAAACAGCCUUACAAAACCCAAGGUUGACCUCGGAUCAGGUAGGAAGACCCGCUGAACUUAAGC
rnacentral:misc_RNA from 1 species